rnacentral:lncRNA from 10 species
GACAGCAUCUUGCUCUGUCACCCAGGCUGGAGUGCAGGAUAAUGGGGGCUAUACUUACCUAAAUUGUUGGGCUGUUUCUAUUUCUGAAGAUUAAAUAGGAAAAGACAUAACUGAUACAUUCUACGGAUUACAUAAAUAUUAGAUAAAAUUAUCAUCAUCAUCCAGCCAUAGUAAGUAGCUGCUACUGUACGCACUUUAUAAUACCUUGGUCUUUGCGCUGAGAGAGCCUCUCUCCCCGCUUUGGAGGUUCAAUACCACAGCCUUCAAGAUCCAACUCAGAACGCUACCUCCUCUCUAAGCUCUCCCACCUCCCCCAGGCGCUUUGUUACUCUUUCCCUUUGUGCUCUGUAGCCUUAACAAAGGCUACUGUUAAACACUUAGCACUGUGUAUAUUUUAAUGGACUUGACUGUCUCUCCCACAACUAAAGUUUGAGCUCCUAAAGAUUA